AUUGCUUCCCUGUUGAAGUGAAGAUAGAAAUGUUCCAUUCUGACCCACCUUUGAAAAACAAUUACUUUGCCCCAUGGAUUCUUUGUUCAAUUAGAAAUUUCCCCGGGGCAGGUGACCCAUAGUCUUAAAGAACAGGCUAAACACCACAGAGAGAUUGGUUGCUUUUUGCUUUUCAUCACCUGCAAGAUUUACAUAAAAAUCACAUAAGCUGGAAUUCAACAAAAGGAAAAGAAAGAAAUAAAAGCGAAACAAUUUCGGAAUCACUCCCUAUAACCACGGAAAUGAUUUUAAUUACCAAUUCAUCUGUUGGCAGACUCUUCUGGCAGAUGUACCUGCAACUUGGAAAGAUAACAAAUGAACCAAUUCCUUACUCCAGAGUUGACACUGGUAGUGCUUACUGAAUUUGCUCUCAAAAAAAGAAUCCUGGGCAACAAUACAUCUGGCACUCUGCUCGAGGAAUUUGUCAUGUCAUUGACAUGUUCAGCCUCCAUUGUCCACACCACCCUGACAGCAGACCUCUGACUAUGUGAAGAUACGGUGGGAAGAUGACUGUCCACAAGACAGGAAGAGAGCCCUCACCGAGGAACCAAAUUGGCCAGUAUCUUGAUCUUGGAUUUCUCAGCCUCAAGAACCAUGAGAAAUGAAUGUCUGUUGUUCAAGCCACCCAGUCUAUGAAAAAGUUUGGAAACCUUCAUCUAGAAAGUGGUCUAGCAAAGUGUGGUCCAUGGAUGAGUUUGAUCUGCAAACUGCUUGUUAUUGGUUCAUGACAAGGUCCACCAAUUGCAUUUUGAGAGCUCAGAUAAGCAGAGAGCAAUGCAAUUUGUCACGGAAGGAUGAUUAUGUAUAUGCACUGUCAUGUGUAUGUAUGUGUAUGUAUAUACGCUAUUUCCACGCCUAACUCAAAAGAGACACAGGGAGAAAGUGAGCUCAGCCUGGAUAAAUUGGAAGUUGUGAUGACUUCUAGGAAGCCUCAGGAAAAAGAAACAAAGACAACACUGGCCUGCUGCUCUCUGCAAUGGUGGGACUCUUGUGGGACAACUGUUUUAGGAAUGAAGGUGUCUACCCUCUCUAGAAAUGAAAAUGCAAGUUUGGCUGUGGUUAAGUAUUGGAUGGAGGCAAAAAGAAACUGACAUAUUUGCUUCUUUUCAAUUGUUUGAUUCACCCUGAAGGGCAUGGCUGCCUAAUUUUUUUCUCCAGAGAUAGGUGGACAGAUAAAGACAGGAAAGUAACAUCCACAGACUGCCCUCUGUGAAGGUGACAGUGAUGAGAGGAAUGCUUGAUCUGAACAUUGGUAAAUAAAGUGACCGCGUAUUUCCCUAGCCAGGAGAGCAAUCUGGCUCAAAAGAAACGAGAACAAUGACAUUACUGCCAGGCUGCUCCUAAGCCUUUGGCUAUUCUGUUCAGUGCACAUAAAAAGCAGUGAACAUAGCUGUGACCUCCCUUGUUGGCAGUAUCACAAUUCUUUGGGGCUCCACUUUGAGAAAUUGAGACCUACCUACCUUAACCCUUGGGGGGUUAAGCUUUCAGACUGGAAUGAUAACUGAACUAUUCAUUUGCAGUAAUUCUGGGUUUUGUGCAUAUCUUAAAAAGGAAUACCGGGCUUGCCUAUAUUCAUUACAACAUCCUCCCAGCUUUCAAAUCUUCCAAUACAAUGCCUUUUCUCUAGUCUUUUAAGCACAUCCUGUGACUGGAUAUGAUUAUGGGAGAUUUACAUGCAUCCUUGUCUAUUGUAUCAAAAGAUCAGGGAAUAAAAUGCCCAUCAUUAAAACCCCAAAGUGAUUGGAUUGGCAUGAGGAAUGGGGAUGGGGCUGGCAUGGAAGAGAGGGUUCUGACUCUGAGAUUUCAUGAAAUGCAAAACAAUAGGACAGCUGCUCUUCCAUAAACAGAUUAUUAUUAUUAUUUCUACCUAGACAGCUUGAUAGCAGCCAUUAUCUUCUUUCUGGGUGUCUUAUCAAGUUCCGGCUGUGUGCAGCAUGGGUGAUAAGGAAAGAGAAAUGUCACCCAUGGGAUUGCCAAGGAUUAUUUCUAUGCACUGCUGUUCAGCAACAGCCAAUCUCUCAGAACUGAGAAGUAGUCCUAUUGUUCACGCUGGGCAGUUGCUAUUCUGACUAUCCCAAGAGAUACUAUCCCAGAAAAGGGAUGUAGUUGCCAUUGUGCAAAAGAUUGAUAUUUCAUUACUCUCAGCUAAAGUUCAAGCAGUCUUGAUUUUGAAAAGCAGAAUCAUCAUGAAAUAUCUUUGAAGAGAGAAAAGACAAGGGAAGAAAAGAAGAAUGAAAUGAGUUCAGAGCUUUUUAGAACUGUGAGGGAGUGCGAAAAAAGAAAGGUGUAAUACUUUCAAACAGUGGAAGUUAAAAUGCCAGGCAUCUAAGCCUCAGUGAAAUUGAGCAGUAUCACGUCACCACGACUUGUGGUCCAGCUGUUUAUUGCAAAGACUCCAUCCUGCGUUACUCAUCAGAAAAUAGUUAAUUUUGUAUCUGGCAUUAUUUUAAUUAAAAAAAAGUUAACUUACUAGAUUUCUGUUUGUCUGUGUUUCAUACAAGGUUCUUGAAUGAAAAUAAUCUGUUGAUAUUUAACAUUUUUCCUUUCCUUCUCAAUGAGAAAAUAAAUGUUUUAUUAUACAUGCA